CACACACAGGCUUACCUGUCUCCAUAAUGAAGCGACAGACUCGAAAGUGUUUCUUCAUGUCCCUGUCGGUCUCUGCCUCCCCGCCGGACUGUCUCCGGCCCGCAGCCGGCCACACCGGCCUGUCUCUCAGGACAGCUAAACUAGGAGACGGUCCCUCCAUGGCUCAUGUGGCCUACCACCACCAAGACUGUCUACGUUGGACAAGACGGAAGCUAGUUAUUUUUCCGACAAACCCCUCUGAAUUAAGCUGAAGGAAAGCUCAGUCACUGGCUGGAUGUAACAGGGGGUGCCUACUUCGGAUUUCCUGUCUGGAAAGCAAAGGUCAGUUCGAUUGCGUUGCGAUGCAACGAGUCAACAAAACAAAUACGGAAGCUCUUACAGAUGCAGACAUGUUCAGUUACUCAGCUAAGCAGUAUGACAGUGCCUUCAAGCCGCAGAGGCUGCAGAACUGGGGGGAGACAACUAAAGACUUCAAAAAG